rnacentral:rRNA from 1 species
UACGUAGGGCGCAAGCGUUGUCCGGAUUCAUUGGGCGUAAAGGGUGUGUAGGUGGCGCGCUAAGUCGGGUGUGAAAUUUCAGAGCUUAACUCCGAAACUGCAUUCGAUACUGGCGUGCUUGAGGACUGGAGAGGAGACUGGAAUUCAUGGUGUAGCAGUGAAAUGCGUAGAGAUCAUGAGGAAGACCAGUGGCGAAGGCGGGUCUCUGGACAGUUCCUGACACUGAGACACGAAGGCCAGGGGAGCAAACGGG